ACAAAUAUAUAUAUAUAUAUAUAUAUAUUUAUGGAUGAUAGCUCACAACACCUUUGAGCGAACAGCCCUGGAGCGAAGAAAAUGGAGAUCGUUGUGUCAAAAUGGUAUUAGAAACUUUGUUGCAACCAGCAUUAACGGGUUUCAGAUUGCAAUGCAAAGGAGAAAAGCAGCUGCAAAUAUACCACCUGCACUGACCUGUAAUCCUUAUACUUGCA